rnacentral:rRNA from 1 species
UACAGAGGUGGCUAGCGUUGUUCGGAUUUAUUGGGCGUAAAGGGUGCGUAGGUGGCCGCGUGUGUCGAGUGUGAAAUCCCACCGCUCAACGGUGGAACGGCGCUCGAAACUACGUGGCUGGAGUGCAGGAGGGGAGAGCGGAAUUCCUGGUGUAGCGGUGAAAUGCGUUGAGAUCAGGAAGAACACCGGUGGCGAAGGCGGCUCUCUGGAAUGCAACUGACACUGAGGCACGAAAGCUGGGGGAGCAAACAGG